GAUGAAGAACGUAGUGAAAUGCGAUAGGUAGUGUGAAUUGCAGAUGUAACGUGAAUCAUCGAAUCUUUGAACGCAAAUUGCAUUCCCUGGUAUUCCGGGGAGUAUGCCUGUUUGAGGGUCGCCAAAUACACAUCGAUUAACAUUGCUUUUGAAGUAAAUGUUUAUCGGAUUUGAGCUUUCUUUAUUCUUAAAAUGACAAGGAUAAAGUGGUUUAAAAUUUAUUUUUUUUUGGUAUCAAGCGUAUUUUACAAUCAAUUUUUGAUUAAAAAAGAACGUUUCGAAUGCCAUCCUUUUAAUGUAAUACGUUUGACUAUAUUUAAUAAAUAUGUAGUUCAUUCGCAUACGAUUCAUAAAUUUUUUUUUUUGACCUCAAAUCAGGUAAGAGUACCCGCUGAACUUAAGCAUAUCAAUAAGCGGAGGA
rnacentral:misc_RNA from 1 species